CAUCUAUGUUUAAUUAAAAAACUAAAGAUGUUUUUGAACUAUGUAAAGAUUGAUGGAUUAUAACAGUGAGAGUUUAGAGUUUCCCCUUCCCUCUAGUCUCCCUCCACCUUUAUAAUUGCUUCUGAGAAGUCACGAUGCUCCUUGCUUUCCAUAUCAUAAACACCAAACUCAUAGAGGAUAACGGGGAUGGGGAAUGUUUAGUUGGCAAAGUAUUUGUAGCAUAAGCAUGAGGCCCUGAGUUCAAUUCCCAGAACCUACCUAAAAAUGUCAAGAAUGGUGGUGGCACNUAUUUGUAAUCCCAGUGUUGAAUAGGGACAGACAGCUGGCUCUUGCUGGCCAUCCAGUCUCAUUUAUUAGGUGCAUCAAUGGUCCAAGGGUCAUGUCUCAAAUCAAGGUGAUUGGUUUCUGAAGACUUAUACCUAUCNAUGAUCUCUGGCUUCCACACAUGUACAGGUACCUAUACAUUCAUGUGAACCCACAUAAACAUACAUGUGUGGGAGCAUAGACUCACUCCGUGUGCUUUAAUAGUCUAAUUUAGUUCAUUUAACGUCCUACAAAGAGCAUUGUUGAUAGUGACUCAGUCUUUUUCAUGAGCACCAAACUAUCUGAAUGCUCUCUAUAUCAAAUCAGCAGAAUAGCAGGGCAUAUCAUCUGUAAUCUUUCUUCUAUUGACAGUAAAAAAAAAAAAAAAAAAAGAAUAGCCAACAACCCUCAGGGUCCCCUUCAGCUGAACAUCAGAAUUCUUACUGUGCCCAAAUACUAAGAACUGAAAACGAAAAUGAGACGUGUGACAUGAAACUCGAGGUCAGUUCAACAGCAUAACAUGUUGGAGUUUACAUAUAACAAAAUGUGUAGCUCACCCUCCCAUACUUGCAUGACCGUGGGCAGGGACCGAUAAAUCUCCUUACACUGUCCCAUGUUCCNUUCACUCUUCAUUUGCAAAUUGCAUGAGACAUUCUACGCUAACCCACGGCAGGCUUUCCAAGCUGUCUAAUCUUUUUUCUUAUCAUUGCUUAUGUUCCAAGAAGAUCUGGCUCUGGUUGUAUUUACUGAGAUAAUGAUUUACUAUUCUAAACAAUUACUUUUUACCAUUACUAGAGACAAUUCUGUAUAUAAGAGCNUUUUUAUUCCCUCCUCCUCUUCUUCCUCCUCCUUAAAUAAAGGAAUUUGCCUCUACUGUGGUAGACUAGCACUGGGGUCAGAUUCUUACUGCAGAUAAUGCCCGUGAGGAAGCAUGGAAACCAUUAUGAAGGAUAUAAACCAUAAACUCAGCUUAUCUCUAUUGAAUUCUCAUGGACCUCUGAGAAUGAAAGGAUCUGUUUGUUAAUGGCUUUUCCAAAUAAAAGCCACCCAAGGGCACUGAUGUCAUGCAUCAACAGCAGCACUUGGAAUGUCCAGGCAGUCAGGAAUCAUUGGCAUUUCCAUAGCAAGAGAGUGCCUGUGCAUUUGCUUUCCCACAAACAUUAGUGGGUCCUAACAUCUGAAGUCACUAUUAGGUUUAGAGUGGGUCUUCUUUAGCAUCUAACACACAAUGUACUAGAGGCUUUGUACUCUCCCUAAUUGCUUCUCUCUACCUAUGGAGCAAGUUCUUACUGAAGGGGCAUUACUUUUAAAAAGUCCUUAGGAUCUCCUUGGGGCUUUAAGUCCCUGAUAGACUGCCUGUGGUCUUCAAUACAAUGUAUAAACUCCUGAAAGUAGGGUGCUUUUCUCAUUCAUUCCUUAGAAGUUACAUCUUCCCUACGAGUGUGACUUCUCUUUUGAAAGAUAAGGAAAUUAAAAUNUAGGAAAGCUAUCCAGUCAUCCACAAAGGAAUAGAUAAAUGAAGAACAUCUGGAGUUCUUCCACUGAUUCAGAAUCUUAAUGUUCCACCAGGGUCUCAGGCAGCUUGUGCCUCUACCAUCUCAAGGUCUUGAAAAUAGUGGUAUGUACUGUGAUGGCUAUUCUUGUUUGUCAACUUGACUACAACUGGAAUUAACUCAGACUUCCAAGUGGGGAACACCUGUUUUUGAAGUGGGAAGAUCCACUUCUAAUCUUGAUCUUUCGAGGUGGGAAGACUUACCUUUAAUCCAGAUCUUUCGAGGUGGGAAGAUCCACCUCUAACCACAUGGAAGAAAGGAGCUUUUUUGCUUUGUCUGCUUGCUCUUGCCUCAGUAGCAAGUUCAUUCCUUCACAGGCAUUAGAGUCUGCUUCUUCAGGAUUCCAGCAUACACGGAAGAGCAGCUGAAGCAUUCAGCCUCGUGCACUGAGCAACUCCUGGAUUCUUGGACCUUUCCUUCACAGGCAGCCCNUGUUGGACUUGCUGGAGCACAGCCUGGAAGCUGGUCUAAGAAAUCCCAUUUCAAUACAUAGUGAGAUUCAUUCGGUAUCCUUCUAUAGCACAGAAACGGAAACUUCAGCCAGAAGAGAGGAAUUCAGUGACUCCAUGCCAACAGAAACAGAGCUCUGCAUUUGUUUCCUGAGCCUACUUGCACUUGGAAGGUUUCUUUCCUCACAAGAAACAUGUGUUACAGGAUAUAAAAGUGGCUUUCAGUUUGGGGUUAGAACCCGAGACAGAAAGACAACGGAGAAAAAUUUCAGCUCAGCCUUUCUAGAUUGGAAAUGAUGCAUGAAGUUUGCUGUUUCUCCAAGAUUUCAGAACAGUCUACAGGAGUCUGUGGCACAGGAGAAAAGAUGGUUCCUAAAGAGGAUGGUGCACCAUAAGAGAGAUGACAGAGUUUUAGAAUCACUUCAUGGUGUCAUCUCACACUGCUGAAAGGUGUUCUUCACCAAAGAGCAACUUGAAACAGACUCAGCCUUCUGAAUGGUGCUCCUCUGCUUUAAUUGUUUGGAAGCAGCCAGUCCCUAGAAACAAAGUGAAGUGACUCACGCCNGCCCGAGAUGCAGUCCAGCUGGGGUCUGACAGAUAUCACAUGAAGCAUGGAAAACUUUGCAGGAAAUAACCCUUNAAAAUUUGAGGAAGUGGCUCCUUAAAACCUUGCCAGUAACUGACGCUUGACUGCUAAGGAUGCUCAAACAAUGUAGUCAAUGUAAGCUGGUGCACAGAACUUUGAAGCAUCAUCUGCCAUCCAUUUCAUCUCCAGUGCAGUGCAUUUCCUUUGGUCAAAGGGUUUCCAGUGGAAACAUAUUCAGCAAUGUCCACUAAGAAAAACUUGNGCUGCCAGCGUAGUUCCCAUGGAGAAAGCUUGAGUCUCAAUGUAACAAUACAGACUACCUGGGGGGAAAUAAAUUUUCCUAAACUGUUAUUCCUACACUCUACCUAGCUGUGUGUAUUUGGCAAGCCGAGAUAUUUUCAGAGCCUUUGUGUCUUCGUUAGGAAGGGGAAAGAUGAGUGGGACUUAGAAUGUAUACCAUAUGAAUGAGAGAACCUGUGCUACUGGANCAGGACGUGAGUUUAUCAAGAGGACGAAUUCCACAGGGAGA